GGCUGGUCCAAAGGUAGUGAGUUAUCACGAUUGUUCACAGUCAGUACAGAUUGAACUCCUUGUUCUACUCUUUCCCCGCUUCUCACUACUGCACUUGACUAGUCUUUA
ensembl:misc_RNA Y_RNA Y RNA